rnacentral:rRNA from 1 species
UACGGGGGGGGCAAGCGUUGUUCGGAAUUACUGGGCGUAAAGGGUUCGUAGGUGGCCCGCUAAGUCACACGUGAAAUCCCUCAGCUUAACUGGGGAACUGCGUGUGAGACUGGCAGGCUUGAGUGCAGGAGAGGAACGCGGAAUUCCAGGUGUAGCGGUGAAAUGCGCAGAUAUCAGGAGGAACACCGGUGGCGAAGGCGGAUCUCUGGGCCGUAACUGACGCUGAGGAGCGAAAGCAUGGGGAGCGAACAGG